rnacentral:rRNA from 1 species
UACGUAGGCAGCGAGCGUUGUUCGGAGUUACUGGGCGUAAAGGGUGUGUAGGCGGUUGUUUAAGUUUGGUGUGAAAUCUCACUGCUCAACGGUGGGGCUGCUUCUGAUACUGCAAAUCUUGAGACCGGUAGAGGUUGGUAGAAUUGCAGGUGUAGCGGUGGAAUGCGUAGAGAUCUGCAAGAAUACCCGUGGCGAAGGCGGCCAACUGGGCCGGUUCUGACGCUGAGGCACGAAGGCCAGGGGAGCAAACGGG